rnacentral:rRNA from 1 species
CCUUUGUACACACCGCCCGUCGCUACUACCGAUUGAAUGGCUUAGUGAGGUCUCCGGAUUGGCUUUGGGGAGCCGGCAACGGCACCUUGUCGCUGAGAAGCUGAUCAAACUCGGUCAUUUAGAGG